rnacentral:SRP_RNA from 1 species
UGAACUCCCCCAGGGCCGGAAGGCAGCAAGGGUCAAUGGGCUCUGCCGGGUGCGCGGGGUCCCCUUAUUUU